GUGUCAGCAGCCGCGGUAAGACGAACCGUACGAACGUUAUUCGGAAUCACUGGGCUUAAAGGGUGCGUAGGCGGUGCGGAAAGUUGGGUGUGAAAUCCCUUGGCUCAACCAAGGAACUGCGCUCAAAACUACCGUGCUUGAGGGAGACAGAGGUGAGCGGAACUUAGGGUGGAGCGGUGAAAUGCGUUGAUAUCCUAAGGAACACCGGUGGCGAAGGCGGCUCACUGGGUCUCUUCUGACGCUGAGGCACGAAAGCUAGGGUAGCGAACGGGAUUAGAUACCCCGGUAGUCCUAGCUGUAAACGAUGAGCACUGGGUUGGAGGGUCCUCCAUAGCCUUCCAGCCGUAGCGAAAGUGUUAAGUGCUCCGCCUGGGGAGUAUGGUCGCAAGGCUGAA
rnacentral:rRNA from 1 species